rnacentral:rRNA from 1 species
AAGUGCGAAUGCUGACAUAAGUAACGAUAAAACGGGUGAAAAACCCGUUCGCCGGAAGACCAAGGGUUCCUGUCCAACGUUAAUCGGGGCAGGGUGAGUCGGCUCCUAAGGCGAGGCUGAAAAGCGUAGUCGAUGGGAAACAGGUUAAUAUUCCUGUACUUGGUAAAGCUGCGAUGUGGGGACGGAGUAGGUUAGGUUAUCGCACUGUUGGAUAUGUGCGUUUAAGUUGGUAGGUGGGAAGUUUAGGCAAAUCCGGACUUCCUUAACACAGAGAGAUGAUGACGAGGCUCUACGGAGCUGAAGUAACUGAUACCACACUUCCAGGAAAAGCCACUAAGCGAAAGGCUUUACUAAACCGUACUGAAAACCGACACAGGUGGUCAGGUAGAGAAUACUCAGGCGCUUGAGAGAACUCGGGUGAAGGAACUAGGCAAAAUAGCACCGUAACUUCGGGAGAAGGUGCGCCGGCGUAGAUUGUAAGGGCUAGCCCCUGAAGGUUGAACCGGUCGAAGAUACCAGCUGGCUGCAACUGUUUAUUAAAAACACAGCACUCUGCAAACACGAAAGUGGAGGUAUAGGGUGUGAUGCCUGCCCGGUGCUGGAAGGUUAAUUGAUGGUGUAAUCGCAAGAGAAGCACCUGAUCGAAGCCCCAGUAAACGGCGGCCGUAACUAUAACGGUCCUAAGGUAGCGAAAUUCCUUGUCGGGUAAGUUCCGACCUGCACGAAUGGCAUAAUGAUGGCCAGGCUGUCUCCACCCGAGACUCAGUGAAAUUGAAAUCGCCGUGAAGAUGCGGUGUACCCGCGGCUAGACGGAAAGACCCCGUGAACCUUUACUAUAGCUUGACACUGAACAUUGAAUUUUGAUGUGUAGGAUAGGUGGGAGACUUAGAAGUAGUCACGCCAGUGAUUAUGGAGUCGACCUUGAAAUACCACCCUUUAACGUUUGAUGUUCUAACGAAGAUGACGAAACGUGGUCUCGGACAGUGUCUGGUGGGUAGUUUGACUGGGGCGGUCUCCUCCCAAAGCGUAACGGAGGAGCACGAAGGUUUGCUAAUCACGGUCGGACAUCGUGAGGUUAGUGCAAUGGUAUAAGCAAGCUUAACUGCGAGACAGACAAGUCGAGCAGGUACGAAAGUAGGUCAUAGUGAUCCGGUGGUUCUGAAUGGAAGGGCCAUCGCUCAACGGAUAAAAGGUACUCCGGGGAUAACAGGCUGAUACCGCCCAAGAGUUCAUAUCGACGGCGGUGUUUGGCACCUCGAUGUCGGCUCAUCACAUCCUGGGGCUGAAGUAGGUCCCAAGGGUAUGGCUGUUCGCCAUUUAAAGUGGUACGCGAGCUGGGUUUAGAACGUCGUGAGACAGUUCGGUCCCUAUCUGCCGUGGGCGUAGGAGAAUUGGUUGGGGCUGCUCCUAGUACGAGAGGACCGGAGUGGACGCACCACUGGUGUUCCGGUUGUGUCGCCAGACGCAUUGCCGGGUAGCUAAGUGCGGAAGAGAUAAGUGCUGAAAGCAUCUAAGCACGAAACUUGCCAAGAGAUGAGUUCU